UGCAGGUGGUUUGAGAGUUGCUUCUAGGGUUUGUUUUCUGUAUUUCAGCUGCCCUAACCGUGCCCGGGUAUUUUCUCUCCAUACAUCCUGAUUCUGAGGAGAAUAGGAUUGUUUCUUUAUCAGCAAACUUGGACUUUAUGAUCUUCAAUCACAGAGCGAAAGCACUUCCUUUAGAAACUGAUAUGAAGCUGAAGCAUUAAGAUCAAUGAAGCUUCAUGGUCCUUUGAUUAAGGAGAUUACGACUGUUGGCAGGUCUGUUGAACGUAAGAGUAGAGAGCCUAUGUCUCAGGUCAUUGUCAAUUGUUUUCUGAAGUGGUAAUGUUUUUUAACCUUUCAUUACUUGCUAGAAUAUGGCUUUUGGCUUUCUUGUUUACUUCUGUUACUUUGCCUGACAUACUGAACCCUAGUUUUUAGUUGGAAUCAUUAUAAGGGAUUCUACCUGGCCAGCAAUUCAAUAUAUUAUUCUUCUUUACAUUUUCUUC